GGAUGUGAGGGUGAUCUGGCUAUGACAUCUGUCUCCCUAUUGAUCACCAGCAUUGAUGAAGCUUCUCUGGAUGGCUAGACAGAUGUCCCCUUCCUCCUUCUCCACUCCAUGUGUCCCUCCUGAAGCUGUGUGUUCUGUCAAAGGGGGCAGCCACCUCUGCUAGAAUCUCCAAACAAGCUCUCAGAGGGGAGGAGGACCAAGAAAUGAAGCUAUGGAGUAGGGAGGGAAAAGGAAUGAAAAAACAAUCGAGUUGUGUUAUGUACUC
rnacentral:sRNA from 1 species